CAUCAGAACGCGCGGUGUUUGCCGGGACGUUUUCUGCUUGAUGUAUAUAGUGUUGUCGUGGUUACAUAAUUAUGAACAAGUUCUCAGAGUUUAAAAAAAGAAAAGAGAACUCAGACACGUGACUAAACUUUAACUCUAAGCCAGCAGCAGCAGGAGUCUGUGGAGAUUUUCUUAAAGAGCGGGGUCUGGACUCUGAUUUCAUUAUAAGAGGAGUAAAGAAUCAGGACACUGGAAGAAAAAUAAAGAGAUUCAUGACUCCAGAAUCUCCACUAACCUGUUAACCGAGCAGCUCAGGAGGUCUGCAUUAGCUGACGUCACCAAACUGUGGACUCGGAGGAGGUCCACAAGGGCGGAGUGUGUCAUUUGGGACAGAGCGGAAGUUGAACAUAGCUGAAAGCUUCACAUUAUAAUCGAUGACAUCAGAUGCAGUUCCAAGGAUGAGGAACAGAUGUCUGAACCAAGAAAAGGCAAAGGAAAAUAAUAUUAUGGCGGACAAGUUAGCAUUCAUUACUUUUAUUGUCUUCCCCCCUCUCAGAUCUCACAAAG
ensembl:lncRNA